GGAGUAAAAUUCCCUCCAUCAGAGAGACAAGACUUGGCUCUCUCUCUCCCAGAAAGGAGAGGAGGGAGAAGAAUCUCUUCACCCUCUCUCCCCAUUUCCCUCGCUCUCCUUCCAUUCUCCCUGUUCCCCUCACAAUCCUUCUCUUACACAUGGCUAGCAAUAAUAGAGGAGGGAAAUGGGUAUACUUCACUUUCCUGUCAAAGAGAAAAAACUAGACAUUGUGCCAGGAUGAAAAUAAACAUCCUUCUUUUUUUCUGCAGCCAAACUGCCAAACUUACAUAUUAUAGUCACCCCACAGAUCUCUUCAGAUACUUUCAGGUCCAUCUGGAAAAACAACAGAAACUCUGGCUCUGUCCAAAAGAAAAAGAAGGCCAAAAACUGAAUAUAUAUUCCAUUUAUUCCUGUGGACAAAUGGUUUGGAUAUGAAGACAAUGUCACUGAGAAAUAAUAUUGUCAAAUAGUCAUUUCACUAAUGUGCAAAGUAUUCUUAUAUUACAUUUUUUACUUUUUUAAAAGAUAAUUUAUUUUACCAAUUACAUGUACUAACAAGUUUCCAUAUAAGGUUUCUGAAGUUAUAAAAUACAAAUUGUCUCCUCUUCUUCCUGGAGAUGGUAAUCAACUUGAUCUGGAUUAUGUAUGUAUCAUCAUGUAAAACCUAUUUCCAUACUGUUCAUUGUUUUAAAGAAUACUCAUAUAAAACCAAAACUCCAAAAUAAAAAGUCAAAUAAAUUAAAGUGAAAAAUCA
rnacentral:lncRNA from 1 species